AGGGCAAACCGGGGAGCUACGGCUCUCCGGGGUUGAGGACUGCAUUUAGUCUUAAUGGUUUAUCCGAACUACCUGGAAAGGUAGGCAACACAGUGUAAAAGCCACGUAGGUUAAAGACCAGAGAGAUGAGCAGUAUCCAGAGUACCACGAGGCACGAGGAAUCUUGUGGGAAGCCGGGGGGACCACCCUCCAACCCUAAACACUGAAUGGCGACCGAUAGCGCAUAGUACCGUGAGGGAAAGGUGAAAAGAACCCCGGGAGGGGAGUGAAAGAGAACCUGAAACCGUAUGUCUACAAGCAGUCGGAGCGAAAGCGACGGCGUGCCUAUUGAAGAAUGAACCAACGAGUUACGUGCACUAGCGAGGUUAAGUGGAAGACACGGAGCCGAAGCGAAAGCGAGUCUUAAGAGGGCGGAUAGUUAGUGUACGUAGACCCGAAACCGCAGUGAUCUACCCAUGUCCAGGUUGAAGCGCAGGUAAAAUUGCGUGGAGGACCGAACCUGUGAGCGUUGAAAAGCUUUAGGAUGAGAUGUGGGUAGAGGUGAAAUUCCAAUCGAACGCGGAGAUAGCUGGUUCUCCCCGAAAUAGCUUUAGGGCUAGCCUCAAGUAGUAAGUAUAGGCGGUAGAGCACUGAUCGGGCUAGGGGCCAUAAAGGUUACCGAACCCUGUCAAACUCCGAAUGGUUAUACUGUAGAGCUUGGGAGUCAGACUACGAGUGAUAAGAUCCGUGGUCAAAAGGGAAACAGCCCAGACCACCAGCUAAGGUCCCCAAUGUCGUACUAAGUGGAAAAGGAUGUGGGGUCUCUAAAACAACCAGGAUGUUGGCUUAGAAGCAGCCACCAUUUAAAGAGUGCGUAAUAGCUCACUGGUCGAGAGACCCUGCGCCGAAGAUUACCGGGGCUAAAGUACGAAACCGAAGCUGUGGCUACGACGUAAGUCGUGGGGUAGGGGAGCGUUCUGUGAGGGCUGAAGUCGUUCUGUAAGGAACGGUGGACUUCACAGAAGUGAGAAUGUUGGUAUGAGUAGCGAAAAGAAUGGUGAGAAUCCAUUCCACCGAAAGCAUAAGGAUUCCUGGGCAACGAUCGUCGUCCCAGGGUAAGUCGGGACCUAAUCCGAGGCAUGGAGCGUAGGAGAUGGAGAACUGGCAGAUAUUCCAGUACCGGUAAUGAUUGUUUGAGCGAUGGAGUGACACAGGAGGGCAGGCAGGCAGGAGAUUGGUUGUUCCUGUACAAGCGUGUAGGAUGGGACGUAGGCAAAUCCGCGUCCUGUGAGUCUGAGGCGUGAUGUGGAGGUUCCGGAAACGGAACUGAAGCUGCUGACCCCACACUGUCGAGAAAAGCUUCUAGUUAGAGAAUUACCGCCCGUACCGUAAACCGACACAGGUAUGCGGGGAGAGAAUCCUAAGGUGCGCGGGAGAACCCUCGUUAAGGAACUCGGCAAAAUGUACCCGUAACUUCGGGAUAAGGGUAGCCGCUGUUGUGAAGUCUGAACAGACGGAGCAUGAGGCGGUCGCAGAGAAGAGGCCCAAGCGACUGUUUACCACAAACACAGGUGCCUGCUAAAGAGAAAUCUGACGUAUAGGUGCUGACACCUGCCCAGUGCCGGAAGGUUAAGGAAGGAUGUCCGGAGCAAUCCAAAGCAUUCGACCGAAGCCCCGGUGAACGGCGGCCGUAACUAUAACGGUCCUAAGGUAGCGAAAUUCCUUGUCGGGUAAGUUCCGACCCGCACGAAAGGUGUAACGAUUUGGGCACUGUCUCAACGAGGGACCCGGUGAAAUUGAAGUACCUGUGAAGAUGCAGGUUACCCGCGACUGGACAGAAAGACCCCAUGGAGCUUUACUGUAACCUGACAUUGGGUUCUGAUACAUCACGUACAGGAUAGGUGGGAGGCAUGGAAGCGAGGACGCUAGUCUUCGUGGAGCCGCCGUUGGGAUACCACCCUUGAUGUAUCGGAAUUCUAACCGUAGGAGUAACGAAACUCGGGACAGUGUCAGGCGGGCAGUUUGACUGGGGCGGUCGCCUCCCAAAGAGUAACGGAGGCGCCCAAAGGUUCCCUCAGCGCGGCCGGAAAUCGCGCGAAGAGUGUAAAGGCAGAAGGGAGCUUGACUGAGAGCCAAACACGGCGAUCAGGUACGAAAGUAGGGCUUAGUGAUCCGGUGGCAUCCAAGUGGAAGGGCCAUCGCUCAACGGAUAAAAGCUACCCUGG
rnacentral:rRNA from 1 species